GAUGAAGAACGUAGCGAAAUGCGAUAAGUAAUGUGAAUUGCAGAAUUCAGUGAAUCAUCGAAUCUUUGAACGCACAUUGCGCCCGUCAGUAUUCUGGCCGGCAUGCCUGUUCGAGCGUCAUUACGCCCCUCAAGUCCCCUGUGGACUUGGUGUUGGGGAUCGGCGAGGCUGGUUUUCCAGCACAGCCGUCCCUUAAAUUAAUUGGCGGUCUCGCCGUGGCCCUCCUCUGCGCAGUAGUAAAACACUCGCAACAGGAGCCCGGCGCGGUCCACUGCCGUAAAACCCCCCAACUUUUUAUAGUUGACCUCGAAUCAGGUAGGACUACCCGCUGAACUUAAGCAUAUAAUAAGCGGAGGA
rnacentral:misc_RNA from 1 species